AUUGUAUAAAGAAAACCAUGCGCUAUGCGUAUGGUUCAGAAAAGGUUUUACCGUUAUCUAAAAAAACAUCUCAUCAUGCUAGAAUAUAUAUUGGUCAGCCAACCAAAAUAUUCAACACGAGGAGAUGCUUUUUUAUGUCAUCUGACACAAACAGUUUAGCACAUACAAAAUGGAAUUGUAAGUAUCACAUAGUCUUUGCACCAAAAUAUAGUAAUAGCUCACUGGUCGAGUCGGCCUGCGCGGAAGAUGUAACGGGGCUAAACCAUGCACCGAAGCUGCGGCAGCGACACUAUGUGUUGUUGGGUAGGGGAGCGUUCUGUAAGCCUGUGAAGGUGUACUGUGAGGUAUGCUGGAGGUAUCAGAAGUGCGAAUGCUGAC
rnacentral:rRNA from 1 species